UNAANUNGGGCACUCUANGGGAGACUGCCGGUGACAAACCGGAGGNAAGGUGGGGACGACGNUCAAGUCAUCAUGGNCCCUUACGACCAGGGCUACACACGUGCUACAAUGGAGCGUACAAAGGGUUGCAACCCCGCGAGGGUGAGCUAAUNCCCAUAAAACGUUUCGUAGUCCGGAUCGCAGUCUGCAACUCGACUGCGUGAAGUCGGAAUCGCUAGUAAUCGUAGAUCAGAAUGCUACGGUGAAUACGUUCCCGGGCCUUGUACACACCGCCCGUCACACCAUGGGAGUGGGUUGCAAAAGAAGUGGGUAGCAUAANCUUCGGGAGUGC
rnacentral:rRNA from 1 species